UACGGAGGGUGCAAGCGUUAUCCGGAUUCACUGGGCUUAAAGGGUGCGUAGGUGGGCAAGUAAGUCAGUGGUGAAAUCUCCGGGCUUAACCCGGAAACUGCCAUUGAUACUAUUUGUCUUGAAUACUGUGGAGGUCAGCGGAAUAUGUCAUGUAGCGGUGAAAUGCUUAGAUAUGACAUAGAACACCAAUUGCGAAGGCAGCUCACUAAGCAGGCAUUGACGCUGAGGCACGAAAGCGUGGGGAUCAAACAGG
rnacentral:rRNA from 1 species